CAGUAACGCGUGAGAAUCUGGCUCUAGGUCUGGGACAACAGUUGGAAACGACUGCUAAUACCGGAUGUGCCCUUGGGUGAAAGGCUUGCUGCCUAGAGAUGAGCUCGCGUCUGAUUAGCUAGUUGGUAGUGUAAAGGACUACCAAGGCGACGAUCAGUAGCUGGUCUGAGAGGAUGAUCAGCCACACUGGGACUGAGACACGGCCCAGACUCCUACGGGAGGCAGCAGUGGGGAAUUUUCCGCAAUGGGCGAAAGCCUGACGGAGCAAUACCGCGUGAGGGAGGAAGGCUCUUGGGUUGUAAACCUCUUUUCUCAAGGAAUAAGAUCUGAAGGUACUUGAGGAAUCAGCAUCGGCUAACUCCGUGCCAGCAGCCGCGGUAAUACGGAGGAUGCAAGCGUUAUCCGGAAUGAUUGGGCGUAAAGCGUCCGCAGGUGGCAUUGUAAGUCUGCUGUUAAAGAGUGAGGCUUAACCUCAUAAAAGCAGUGGAAACUACAAAGCUAGAGUGCGUUCGGGGCAGAAGGAAUUCCUGGUGUAGCGGUGAAAUGCGUAGAGAUCAGGAAGAACACCGGUGGCGAAGGCGUCUGCUAGGCCGCAACUGA
rnacentral:rRNA from 1 species